GCGCCUGUGGCUCAGUGGGUAGGACACCGGUCCCAUAUACCCAGGGUGGCGGGUUCAAAUCCAGCCCUGGCGCA
rnacentral:tRNA from 1 species